ACCUCAGGCUUCAAGUUAAAAUAAUAAUAAUAAUCUGCUCUUAUCAGUUUCAUAUCUGAUACGUCUCCUAUCUGGGGGCCAUAUAUUAAAUGAAUUUUCAUAACAGGAAGAUGGAAGAAGAGCUUGCCCUGUCCACUCCAUGCAUUGACCUAGUAUUGCAAUACUUCCGGGACCGGUGCACCUUUC